AAUUAUCAACCGCGAAAGGCUUUUUCUGGUCUUUCGGGGCUUGGAGUUGGAGGCUUGCCGGCGUGAGUCGGCUCCUCUUAAAUGUAUCAGCGAAAAUACAAACCUUUUGUUGGCUUCGGUGUGAUAAUCACGUUGCGCCGUCGCUUGAAGGUGUUAAAGUGUUUCGCUUAUAAUGGUCUUCGGACAAACAAACCAUUGA
rnacentral:misc_RNA from 1 species